GAGGUCCUGGGUUGUUACAAUUGCCGACCGUAUGAGCAAAGAGAUCACUGCACUUGCUCCUAGCAGCAUGAAGAUCAAGGUGGUGGCACCACCUGAAAGGAAGUAUAGUGUCUGGAUCGGAGGUUCCAUCUUGGCUUCUCUAAACACAUUCCAGCAGAUGUGGAUAUCCAAGGCAGAAUAUGAUGAAUCUGGACCAGCCAUUGUUCACAGGAAGUGCUUCUAGAUGUUCUUUCAGGAUAUUGGUUCUGCAUCUUUAUGUAUCUGAUGGUAGUAGAUGCAUCCAAGGUAUGGUCUUGUUGGUUGGUUAAUUUUAUGUUUGAUUUUUUUUUCUUUUUUGCCCUUUUUUUGAUUUUUUUUUUUGUUGGUUGGACUCGUUUUCCACCUUGUUAUAUCGGAUAUAUUGUUAUCUAAGUAUGCUAGAUAUGUACCUGUGCAAGUAGUUUGGAUUGAGCUACUCUGAAGGUCAAUGCUUUGCUGAAAUUUCUACAA